GACGAACCGUGCGAACGUUAUUCGGAAUCACUGGGCUUAAAGCGCGUGUAGGCGGCCCGGCACGUCAGUCGCUGAAAUCCCCCGGCUCAACCGCGGAAGUGGCGUUGAUACGACCGGGCUGGAGGGGGGUAGGGGGGACGGGAACUCACGGUGGAGCGGUGAAAUGCGUUGAGAUCGUGAGGAACGCCCGCGGCGAAAGCGCGUCCCUGGACCCCACCUGACGCUGAGACGCGAAAGCCAGGGGAGCGAACGGG
rnacentral:rRNA from 1 species